UACGAAGGGGGCUAGCGUUGUUCGGAAUUACUGGGCGUAAAGCGUGCGCAGGCGGCUUCUCCAGUCAGGGGUGAAAGCCCAGAGCUCAACUCUGGAAUUGCCUUUGAGACUGAGUGGCUUGAGUACGAGAGAGGUGAGUGGAAUUCCCAGUGUAGAGGUGAAAUUCGUAGAUAUUGGGAAGAACACCGGUGGCGAAGGCGGCUCACUGGCUCGUAACUGACGCUCAUGCACGACAGCGUGGGGAGCGAACAGG
rnacentral:rRNA from 1 species